rnacentral:rRNA from 1 species
CGAACGCUGGCGGCGUGCUUAACACAUGCAAGUCGAACGGAAAGGCCCUGCUUUUGUGGGGUGCUCGAGUGGCGAACGGGUGAGUAACACGUGAGUAACCUGCCCUUGACUUUGGGAUAACUUCAGGAAACUGGGGCUAAUACCGGAUAGGAGCUCCUGCUGCAUGGUGGGGGUUGGAAAGUUUCGGCGGUUGGGGAUGGACUCGCGGCUUAUCAGCUUGUUGGUGGGGUAGUGGCUUACCAAGGCUUUGACGGGUAGCCGGCCUGAGAGGGUGACCGGCCACAUUGGGACUGAGAUACGGCCCAGACUCCUACGGGAGGCAGGAGUGGGGAAUAUUGCACAAUGGGCGGAAGCCUGAUGCAGCAACGCCGCGUGCGGGAUGACGGCCUUCGGGUUGUAAACCGCUUUCGCCUGUGACGAAGCGUGAGUGACGGUAAUGGGUAAAGAAGCACCGGCUAACUACGUG